GGCUCCACUACAUUUCUUUCCUUGGCUCUCCUGUUGUUUGGUGAACAGUGAGAGGGAGCAGGAGAGAGUUUGAGAUGGUAGUAAGAGGGCUCCAGCUGUGCAAUGAGAUUCUUCAAGGGUCAAGACUGACGAUUAGGGAUGAAAGUGACGCUGAAAAGAUGCCUGCUUUUUAACUCGAAAAUAUAAACAAAGUUAGAGCAAAGAACUGAAGAAGCUGGAAACAGGAUACUGGCACAAAGAUAAAUGUACCGUAGUUGGGAAGAGGAGUUGUUGGGGAAGACAAGGUUUCCUGUCCUGUUGAUCAUGAGGAAGGGUGGACUCCCCAAUCUUUCAGAGUCAUUCUUACUGAGCAGGGUCAGUAGGAAAAGCAUCAUCACUGUAAAAAUCAUAAUUUAACUGACCCUGUG